UUUCGGUUAAACCAAUUUUAAUCGUUUUGUUUGUUUAUAGUUCUUGAAAAACAAACCUUUGUGCUUUUUUGUGCCAAAACAACAACAUCAACAACUGCAAAAGGAAGGGUUCUCCACAUUUGCUGCGUUGAACGAAGCUCUGUACGAAUCCCAGAAGAGGGAAGGGUAUAGGCAGGAGGACUUUGUUAAAGACCUGCGAACAGCCUUUACUCGGCAAAAAAAACCGGGUGUAUAAGGAGUCUACACGCAGAAAGGCGACGACCAGUGCAGACAAAGGACCGGACAAGGACAACGAGAUGGAAGACGAUACUGAGGAUGAUGGGAAAGCAGUAGCAGUGUU